UUGCGACCACCUAACAUCGAAGCUCCGGUUCUCAUAAGAUCACCGAAGUUAACCAACAUCGAGACCUGGUCUGUAUCUAGAUGGAUGAAUCCUUGGGAAUACAAGGUGCUGUAA